rnacentral:snRNA from 1 species
AUACUUACCUGGACGGGGUAGACGGGCGAUCAAGAAGGCCCGUGGCCUAGAUCAAUGGCUCACAUUGCACUUGGUGAGCGCUGGCCCGUGGCCUAGAUCAAUGGCUCACAUUGCACUUGGUGAGCGCGUUGGUUUACCAUCUCCUCAAGUGGGAGAGUGGACGUCAUAAUUUGUGGUAGAGGGGGUACGCGUUCGCGCGGCCCCUG